GCCAGCAGCCAUAUCACUCUGCAACUCACAACUGGCAACACACUGAAGCUCAGCAGGGGUGAGCCUGGCCAAUACCUGAAUGGGAGACCUCCAGGGAAAAACUAAGGCUGCUGCUGGAA
rnacentral:rRNA from 1 species